rnacentral:lncRNA from 1 species
UUUCGGUGUGUCCUUCAAAUGAUCUGAACCCCCUUAUUUAUAGCCGCGGACGUCAAAAUUUAUUAAAUGGAGUUGAGCGGUCCGGACGUCAAGCUGGAAUUCAAUAUGGUUAAGCGGUCUUUGGUCAAUUCUUUGUGGGUCCCAGUGGGUCCUUAUGUUUGCCACUUUGUCUGCCAUAAUUGAAUGCUGUGUGGGUCCCGGUGUCUGCCACUUUGUCUGCCAUAAUUGUGUGGGUCCCGGUGUCUGCCACUUUGUCGGCCAUUUGUCUGGUAAGUGUAUCAUGACGUCAUUGCUUACAUCAGUGGUUUUG